UUAUUACUCCCUUCGUCCAAAAAUACUUGUCGAAAGAAUGGAUGUAUCUAGACAUAACUUAGUUUUAGAUACAUCCAUUUUUAUUCAUUUCUCCGACAAGUAUUUUGGGACGGAGGGAGUACAUA
rfam:Triticum aestivum genome assembly, contig: Triticum_aestivum_CS42_TGACv1_scaffold_392871_5AS